rnacentral:misc_RNA from 1 species
GAUGAAGAACGUAGCGAAAUGCGAUAAGUAAUGUGAAUUGCAGAAUUCAGUGAAUCAUCGAAUCUUUGAACGCACAUUGCGCCCCCUGGUAUUCCGGGGGGCAUGCCUGUUCGAGCGUCAUUUCACCACUCAAGCCUCGCUUGGUAUUGGGCAACGCGGUCCGCCGCGUGCCUCAAAUCGACCGGCUGGGUCUUCUGUCCCCUAAGCGUUGUGGAAACUAUUCGCUAAAGGGUGUUCGGGAGGCUACGCCGUAAAACAACCCCAUUUCUAAGGUUGACCUCGGAUCAGGUAGGGAUACCCGCUGAACUUAAGCAUAUCAAUAAGCGAGGA